rnacentral:misc_RNA from 1 species
GAUGAAGAACGUAGCGAAAUGCGAUAAGUAAUGUGAAUUGCAGAAUUCAGUGAAUCAUCGAAUCUUUGAACGCACAUUGCGCCCGCCAGUAUUCUGGCGGGCAUGCCUGUUCGAGCGUCAUUACAACCCUCAGGCCCCCGGGCCUGGCGUUGGGGAUCGGCGGAGCCCCCCGUGGGCACACGCCGUCCCCCAAAUACAGUGGCGGUCCCGCCGCAGCUGCCAUCGCGUAGUAGCUAACACCUCGCGACUGGAGAGCGGCGCGGCCACGCCGUAAAACACCCAACUCUUCUGAAGUUGACCUCGAAUCAGGUAGGAAUACCCGCUGAACUUAAGCAUAUCAAUAAGCGGAGGA